rnacentral:rRNA from 1 species
GACGUAGGAGGCGAGCGUUGUCCGGAAUCAUUGGGCGUAAAGCGCGUGUAGGCGGUCCGGUAAGUCCGCUCUGAAAGUCGGGGGCUCAACCCUCGGAUGCGGGUGGAUACUGUCGGGCUAGAGUGCGGAAGAGGCGAGUGGAAUUCCUGGUGUAGCGGUGAAAUGCGCAGAUAUCAGGAGGAACACCGAUGGCGAAGGCAGCCUUCUGGGCCAACACUGACGCUCAUGCACGAAAGCGUGGGGAGCAAACAGG